rnacentral:rRNA from 1 species
AUUGAACGCUGGCGGCAGGCUUAACACAUGCAAGUCGAGCGGAGACUUCGGUCUUAGCGGCGAACGGGUGAGGAAUGCCUGGGAAUCUGCCUGUUAGUGGGGGAUAACGUUCCGAAAGGAACGCUAAUACCGCAUACGUCCUACGGGAGAAAGCAGGGGACCUUCGGGCCUUGCGCUAACAGAUGAGCCCAGGUCGGAUUAGCUAGUUGGUGGGGUAAAGGCUCACCAAGGCGACGAUCCGUAGCUGGUCUGAGAGGAUGAUCAGCCACACUGGAACUGAGACACGGUCCAGACUCCUACGGGAGGCAGCAGUGGGGAAUAUUGGACAAUGGGGGGAAAACCCGUACGAAUCCAGCCAUGCCGCGUGUGUGAAGAAGGCCUCGG